UACAGAGGUCCCAAGCGUUGUUCGGAUUCACUGGGCGUAAAGGGCGUGUAGGUGGCUGGGUAAGUCGGAUGUGAAAUCCCGUAGCUUAACUACGGAAAUGCAUCUGAUACUGCCUGGCUAGAAGACUGGAGGGGAGACUGGAAUUCUCGGUGUAGCAGUGAAAUGCGUAGAUAUCGAGAGGAACACCAGUGGCGAAGGCGAGUCUCUGGACAGUUCUUGACACUGAGGCGCGAAAGCCAGGGGAGCAAACGGG
rnacentral:rRNA from 1 species